UUAGAUUUUAGAAUUAAAUAAAUUUAUAAGAAAUUAAGUUUUAUUAUUUUAGAAAAAUAAAAACCUAGACACUAUAAAUGAAACCUUAGAACCCUAGAGAGCAUUUUUGCUCAUCUCUUCUCUAUACCACAGCCAUCCAUCUAGAGAGGGUAGAGAGAGAGGGAGGCGAGCUAGAGAGAGAGAAAGGAAGGCUGCCAUAUUUUUCUAGAGAAGAAACAGAAAGGAAGAAGAAGAAAAGAAAGAGAAGGAGAAGGAGAAGAGGGUUUCGAACCCUAGGUGACAAGGUUUUCUUGCUAGAGUGUUCUUGAUUCAACAAUCAAGAGAGUUGGAUGAUCUGGCUUAGCAGUAGCCCAAUGCAUCAGUUAAGAAUUUGGACUGCUUGAGAGAUGCCGUAAUCAAGUCAAAUACACCCGAGGAGAAUAUUUGGGCUAAGGUGUGCCUGACUCAUACCCCAGUUUGAAGGGCCCAAGUGUUUGUUUCAAACCCAAGUCCAAGGAGCUUAAAGGAGGGGUUUGGAUUUUGGUUCGAGGGAUAAAGGCAGGAGGUCCGAUCGGACCUUAGCUUGGGAGCCUCUCGGACAUUUGGCUCGGAUGUGUCCGAGGUAAGAAGGCUAAGGAAAAGAAGUCCCAUACAAGCCAAGGAAUGGGACUUAGAUUUCAGUCAAGGGAAGGCCACAUAAUGUCCGAUCGGACAUGCUUGAAGAUGCCAAAGGGAGAGAUGCCUCGGACUUGUCCGAGGUGAAAUGCCAAGUAGGGUGGCUUGGACCACCUUGGUCCGAGGAGAAGGCAACAAGGUCCGAUCGGACCUUGAUUGGAGGAGGUAUGCUCGAACUUGUCCGAGGUGAGAAGGCAUGAGAAGGAUGGCUCGAACCACCUUGGUCUGGGGAGAAGGCCACAAGGUCCGAUCGGACCUUGAUUGAAGGAGGUAGGAUCGGACUUACCCGAGGAAGGAGGCCAAGGGAGUUGGCUCGGACCACCUUGGUCCGAGGAGAGCCAUGCAUAUAUCACCUCGGUCCAAGGAAAGCUUGAAGGAGUAAUCAACAUGCAUGUAAGACUACGUCAAAAUCCCCGGAACGGCUUCAGCAAGAAUUGGUCUAAGCACCCGGGAAUCUCUCAUUCCUCACUCAAAUUGAGGAAUCAGUUGUAUUUUAAAUAUUUCUUGUAAUAUAAAUAUAAGAUGAAUAAUAAAAUAUCCCUAUUGGAAGGGGAUAUCAGUUGAGGAUCUCAGACCUAUAAAUAGAGGCUUGGGAGGAUCGUAACAGGACUUUUUGGCAAAUUGAGAGUUAACCUGUGUUCUAGAGAGAGAAAGUGUG